rnacentral:rRNA from 1 species
UACAACAUAGUGUUAAUGCAUUGGAUCCCAUUAUAACUCCACAGUUAAGCGCACUCAUGCUAGAGUAGUACUGGGAUGGGUGAUCGCCUGGGAAGUCCUAAUGUUUUAC